CAGCCCUUGCCAAUGAACACGGUGGCCUUGACCAAGAUGUAGGGUUUGAGUAGAUGGUCAGGUGGAAAGAACUGGGAAGUGGUGGAAAGAAGAGAAAUGAAGAAGGAGUUGAGGACGGGAGAAGAGGAAGCAGAGAGGAGGACUGAGCCACGGAAGCAGCAGCAGAGACACAGCAAAGCAGCCCGCACGGGAGCAGGAGCUGUUUGAAACUGAGAUGGCGUGAAGAAUAAGAACUACAGAGUCUUUAACAAGAUCACCCCAAAUCUUCAAUUUAUCUGUUUCCAAUAAGGAAGGCUUUAUUGCUCACUUGUGGCCUCUUGAUAAACUCAACCUUUAUCUUCUGAAGAUAAAUCUGAGUAUUAUCAUUA